GGGUUGUGAGGUUAAGCGACUAAGCGUACACGGUGGAUGCCCUGGCAGUCAGAGGCGAUGAAGGACGUGCUAAUCUGCGAAAAGCGCCGGCGAGGUGAUAUGAACCCUUGACCCGGCGAUGUCCGAAUGGGGAAACCCAGUGCAAUCCGUUGCACUAUCGUUAACUGAAUACAUAGGUUAACGAGGCGAACCGGGGGAACUGAAACAUCUAAGUACCCCGAGGAAAAGAAAUCAACCGAGAUUCCCCCAGUAGCGGCGAGCGAACGGGGAGCAGCCCAGAGUCUGAAUCAGCUUGUGUGUUAGUGGAAGCGUCUGGAAAGUCGCACGGUACAGGGUGAUAGUCCCGUACACGAAAAUGCACAGGCUGUGAACUCGAAGAGUAGGGCGGGACACGUGGUAUCCUGUCUGAAUAUGGGGGGACCAUCCUCCAAGGCUAAAUACUCCUGACUGACCGAUAGUGAACCAGUACCGUGAGGGAAAGGCGAAAAGAACCCCGGCGAGGGGAGUGAAAAAGAACCUGAAACCGUGUACGUACAAGCAGUGGGAGCACCUUCGGGUGUGACUGCGUACCUUUUGUAUAAUGGGUCAGCGACUUAUAUUCUGUAGCAAGGUUAACCGUAUAGGGGAGCCGAAGGGAAACCGAGUCUUAACUGGGCGUUAAGUUGCAGGGUAUAGACCCGAAACCCGGUGAUCUAGCCAUGGGCAGGUUGAAGGUUGGGUAACACUAACUGGAGGACCGAACCGACUAAUGUUGAAAAAUUAGCGGAUGACCUGUGGCUGGGGGUGAAAGGCCAAUCAAACCGGGAGAUAGCUGGUUCUCCCCGAAAGCUAUUUAGGUAGCGCCUCGUGAACUCAUCUUCGGGGGUAGAGCACUGUUUCGGCUAGGGGGCCAUCCCGGCUUACCAACCCGAUGCAAACUACGAAUACCGAAGAAUGUUAUCACGGGAGACACACGGCGGGUGCUAACGUCCGUCGUGAAGAGGGAAACAACCCAGACCGCCAGCUAAGGUCCCAAAGUCAUGGUUAAGUGGGAAACGAUGUGGGAAGGCCCAGACAGCCAGGAUGUUGGCUUAGAAGCAGCCAUCAUUUAAAGAAAGCGUAAUAGCUCACUGGUCGAGUCGGCCUGCGCGGAAGAUGUAACGGGGCUAAACCAUGCACCGAAGCUGCGGCAGCGACGCUUAUGCGUUGUUGGGUAGGGGAGCGUUCUGUAAGCCGUUGAAGGUGGCCUGUGAGGGUUGCUGGAGGUAUCAGAAGUGCGAAUGCUGACAUAAGUAACGAUAAAGCGGGUGAAAAGCCCGCUCGCCGGAAGACCAAGGGUUCCUGUCCAACGUUAAUCGGGGCAGGGUGAGUCGACCCCUAAGGCGAGGCCGAAAGGCGUAGUCGAUGGGAAACAGGUUAAUAUUCCUGUACUUGGUGUUACUGCGAAGGGGGGACGGAGAAGGCUAUGUUAGCCGGGCGACGGUUGUCCCGGUUUAAGCAUGUAGGCGGAGGUUCCAGGUAAAUCCGGUACCUUUUAACGCUGAGGUGUGAUGACGAGGCACUACGGUGCUGAAGUAACAAAUGCCCUGCUUCCAGGAAAAGCCUCUAAGCAUCAGGUAACAUCAAAUCGUACCCCAAACCGACACAGGUGGUCAGGUAGAGAAUACCAAGGCGCUUGAGAGAACUCGGGUGAAGGAACUAGGCAAAAUGGUGCCGUAACUUCGGGAGAAGGCACGCUGAUAUGUAGGUGAAGCCCCUGCGGGUGGAGCUGAAAUCAGUCGAAGAUACCAGCUGGCUGCAACUGUUUAUUAAAAACACAGCACUGUGCAAACACGAAAGUGGACGUAUACGGUGUGACGCCUGCCCGGUGCCGGAAGGUUAAUUGAUGGGGUUAGCGGCAACGCGAAGCUCUUGAUCGAAGCCCCGGUAAACGGCGGCCGUAACUAUAACGGUCCUAAGGUAGCGAAAUUCCUUGUCGGGUAAGUUCCGACCUGCACGAAUGGCGUAAUGAUGGCCAGGCUGUCUCCACCCGAGACUCAGUGAAAUUGAACUCGCUGUGAAGAUGCAGUGUACCCGCGGCAAGACGGAAAGACCCCGUGAACCUUUACUAUAGCUUGACACUGAACACUGGUCCUUGAUGUGUAGGAUAGGUGGGAGGCUUUGAAGCGUGGACGCCAGUCUGCGUGGAGCCAUCCUUGAAAUACCACCCUUUAAUGGCUGGUGUUCUAACGUAGACCCGUAAUCCGGGUUGCGGACAGUGUCUGGUGGGUAGUUUGACUGGGGCGGUCUCCUCCCAAAGAGUAACGGAGGAGCACGAAGGUUAGCUAAUCCUGGUCGGACAUCAGGAGGUUAGUGCAAUGGCAUAAGCUAGCUUGACUGCGAGAGUGACGGCUCGAGCAGGUGCGAAAGCAGGUCAUAGUGAUCCGGUGGUUCUGAAUGGAAGGGCCAUCGCUCAACGGAUAAAAGGUACUCCGGGGAUAACAGGCUGAUACCGCCCAAGAGUUCAUAUCGACGGCGGUGUUUGGCACCUCGAUGUCGGCUCAUCACAUCCUGGGGCUGAAGUAGGUCCCAAGGGUAUGGCUGUUCGCCAUUUAAAGUGGUACGCGAGCUGGGUUUAGAACGUCGUGAGACAGUUCGGUCCCUAUCUGCCGUGGGCGCUGGAGAAUUGAGGGGGGCUGCUCCUAGUACGAGAGGACCGGAGUGGACGCAUCACUGGUGUUCGGGUUGUCAUGCCAAUGGCACUGCCCGGUAGCUAAAUGCGGAAGAGAUAAGUGCUGAAAGCAUCUAAGCACGAAACUUGCCCCGAGAUGAGUUCUCCCUGAGACUUAAAGUCUCCUGAAGGAACGUUGAAGACGACGACGUUGAUAGGUCGGGUGUGUAAGCGCAGCGAUGCGUUGAGCUAACCGAUACUAAUGAACCGUGAGGCUUAACCUUACAACGCCGAAG
rnacentral:rRNA from 1 species